CCUUCCUUAGACAUACCUUGAUCAAAUUAAUUAUAUCACUAAAGCGGACGGACGGAAAAAAUAUGCUGAAUAAGCAUUUAAAUUAAAAGAUGCUGCAACGACACCAAACUCGCAUCGGCCGCUUCGCUUGAGAGCACGGACCAUACCAGACGUGGACCAGCGACAUAAUGUGCCCAGGGCAGAUGAACUGGUAAUUGUCAAAUAAAUAAUACGCCACGGCGUAUUCUUUAUUACUCCUCUCAGCCCCCUACUUGCACUCACCACGGCAUCCCUCGCCCCAUGUCCAAGAUGCCAUAGCGAUAGAAAGACGGGUCGGCCCGACAUACACCGAGGUCGUCAAGAGGCUCUACCGUGGUUGAGUGAUCUCCUGGGGCCGGCAUCGAAAGAUGACAAUCUCUCGUCCGGACAAAACGCCUUCCGCCGCAACUCGCGCUCCAUGUCCAAGAUGCCAUAGUGAUAGAAAGACGGGUCACCCACUGCGAGGUUGACAGCGAGCUCUCCGGCGGUCGAGGCACCCCAGAUAGGCAGAGAGAAAUGGCACUACCUCGUUCUAACCCCUGUGCACAUUACACCACUGGAACACUCCUGGCGGCCCCGCACUCGCGACUGCGUAAGACCACGAGUUUCGUCGCUCUCAGUCCCCGACGGAUAAUUCAGGUAAGUAUAAGGUAAGUAUAAAGUUCCAAUCCUCUAGGUCCAUUUACUCAUCGUACACACACACACGUCCUUCACCGCCCGUUGACCAUGGGAUGUAACUUGCAAGGAAUUUUAUGGAAGCAAUUCAAAUGACCAUCUAUAGACGGUUUCGCCUAAACUGCCGCCCAAGGCGAACAAAAAAAAAUCUAAGUUUAACCCAGAAACUGCGUGCCUGCCAAAACUAAAGCUAAGUAUCCUUAAAUCUAAAAUUAAAAGAUAAUUCAAAUUCUAAUUCAUUUCAAUACUUAUCCUACAGCCUACUAUUCUAUUGCCUUGCAUCUACUAUCCUUGGAUUCCUAAGGAGGAUUUGGAAAGUACCAUCAACCAGAUAUGAAAACCAAAAUUCACAAACAAGGUAGAAAGUGUAGUGCAUAUAUCCUACUAUAAGGUGGGGAACAAGUGAGAGAAGAGCAAAUCCAAGCGGAUAAGCGAAGCAUUCUAAGUUUCCAAAUAGGACUUCUCCAAACGUAUCCGGAAACUGCUUUCUCUGCCGUAAUGCAUUGUAUGACCCUGAGAUGCUGUAGUAUAUUGGUAUUACGUUUGCUACCUACGGACAUAACCACACGGCUGUUGUUGAAAACAUAAAGAUAAACCCAACAACGUCUCAUGUGCUUUGGCUCAUGGGUAUGAUUGUAUUAAGCGGACGGACAGGCCCGUCGCAAACGAAAUGCGGAUACCAAAAUCCUUAAACUUCGUGACUUACGGGAGUUAAAGAUUAGUAAAACACCGUGCCACAUCCUGCAUCUAACCAGCUUCCAGUCACCACCAGUUUGGCACGCGAUCCAAGCUUUUGAAAACUUACGAUCGGGACUCAAUCCGGUAACCGAAAUCCGAUCAGUUGCUGGCUGUGGCGAUAAAAUGAUGCGGUCAACCCGAUAACUCGGGCCCCAUGUUGCGGGCGCCAUUCUUGUCGUGGACCCCGGAGGGUCCGAACUGCCUCAGCGGAGAAAGGGGACAUAGUGUGCUGGCGGGCGCUGGCUGUUGGCGUUAGAGCUCCGGCUGUGGCUCAGUCUGGGGCGCGGUUCUUGCCAACACACCAUGUCCAGAGACAGCUGACAAAAAAAACUAAAUUGAAACCAGCUCUGGAUGGGAUAACAACACAGGGUCAUACUUACUUUACGGCAGGCACGUUAUUCGCCUUCUUACUCGCACUUACCGCUAUGGAUUCGCUCUUCAGGGGGCACUGAGACAUCCUACAGUGCCCUGGACGGCCCACCCCAACCAUGGUAUCCGUUGUCCAACAGUUUUGGAUACCCCAGAAUCGUCUCCCCGUUCCCCCUCUACAGCAUGGUGCACUACCCCUUCCUUACCUUAAUGAUCUACUCUUCCAUAGCGAAAUGAGAAUACUAAGCCAAGUGGAAUUUCAUUUCUACGUUAUAAAAGAAAAGUGCCUUUGUUGCGUCUGUCAGAUCGCCGGACUGGAAUGCUUCGACGACGGCUCCCCUGGAUAGCAAGACAAUUUGGUAGCGGAGGUGUCCUGGAUCUCCCUUUUUAUGUUCUUGCCAACCUGCAGGGACAACAUUAAACGACCAAAGGGUCUUUUAUUUAAAGUGUAUUCCUAGUGCCCUAGAAUGAGCUCACCCUACUUCCUAGGUUGUAUCGUCCGUUCAAUCACCGGACUGCAGAUAUGAAACCCAAUGUCUACCCUGUUUGCUGCCUAAGUUAUUCUGUUUUCUUUUUUUUUUUAUUUCUUAUAUUUUUAUUCCAGGAUGUGUGUCAAGCUAAGUUUCUCUGUGUAUCGUUCUAAGUAUUGAACAUAUAAAAAGGAGCAUACAUCGGCCUACCUUGGCACCUACGGGCUGCUGGUGCAAAAUUCCCUCGGGGACACUGGAGCAGAUGGCGGCGGUGGAACCAAUGAUGAAGCUGGAGAUGCUGAUGAGAUGAUGAUGUUGUUGAGGAUGGAAAUGUUGACGUUGCCGUGGAUGACGAUGGUUAAAAUUGCAGUAGAGGUGGGUAUUUAUUAUUUGACAAAAAGUUUUUGUUGUUCUGUUUAGUCUUUGCUAUGUUUUAUUCGUGGCUCAAAUUAACGUUCUUUUUCAAAGCUUUUUAUAUUUCACAGGAUCUUUUUUCUUUAGCAUUAAUUAGCACUAAUAAGUUUAUUUAGCUUUAAGUUGAUCUAAAGUAACUUCAGCUUUUUUACUACAAAAGCUAGUCUUUAUUCCUUUCACAAAAAAAGGAACAUUUAUUUGCUUUUAAAUAAAAAACUUUAUGCCUUUGGCAUCACAUAUUC